rnacentral:rRNA from 1 species
GUGUCAGCCGCCGCGGUAAGACAGGGGUCUCGAGCGUUAAUCGGAAUCACUGGGCUUAAAGGGUGCGUAGGCCGCCUCGUAAGUGCUUUGUGAAAGCCCCCGGCUCAACCGGGGAACUGCAGGGCAUACUGCGAGGCUUGAGGAAACUAGAGGCCGGUAGAACGAUAGGUGGAGCGGUGGAAUGCGUAGAUAUCUAUCGGAAUGCCGAAAGUGAAGACAGCCGGCUGGGGUUUUCCUGACGCUGAGGCACGAAAGCGUGGGGAGCAAACCGGAUUAGAAACCCCCGUAGUCC